rnacentral:rRNA from 1 species
UAAGGGCGCACGGUGGAUGCCUUGGCACUAGAAGCCGAUGAAGGACGUUACUAACGACGAUAUGCUUUGGGGAGCUGUAAGUAAGCUUUGAUCCAGAGAUUUCCGAAUGGGGAAACCCAGCAUGAGUUAUGUCAUGUUAUCGAUAUGUGAAUACAUAGCAUAUCAGAAGGCACACCCGGAGAACUGAAACAUCUUAGUACCCGGAGGAAGAGAAAGAAAAUUCGAUUCCCUUAGUAGCGGCGAGCGAAACGGGAAGAGCCCAAACCAACAAGCUUGCUUGUUGGGGUUGUAGGACACUCUAUACGGAGUUACAAAGGACGACAUUAGACGAAUCAUCUGGAAAGAUGAAUCAAAGAAGGUAAUAAUCCUGUAGUCGAAAAUGUUGUCUCUCUUGAGUGGAUCCUGAGUACGACGGAGCACGUGAAAUUCCGUCGGAAUCUGGGAGGACCAUCUCCUAAGGCUAAAUACUCUCUAGUGACCGAUAGUGAACCAGUACCGUGAGGGAAAGGUGAAAAGCACCCCGGAAGGGGAGUGAAAUAGAACCUGAAACCGUGUGCUUACAAGUAGUCAGAGCCCGUUAAUGGGUGAUGGCGUGCCUUUUGUAGAAUGAACCGGCGAGUUACGAUUUGAUGCAAGGUUAAGCAGUAAAUGUGGAGCCGUAGCGAAAGCGAGUCUGAAUAGGGCGUUUAGUAUUUGGUCGUAGACCCGAAACCAGGUGAUCUACCCUUGGUCAGGUUGAAGUUCAGGUAACACUGAAUGGAGGACCGAACCGACUUACGUUGAAAAGUGAGCGGAUGAACUGAGGGUAGCGGAGAAAUUCCAAUCGAACCUGGAGAUAGCUGGUUCUCUCCGAAAUAGCUUUAGGGCUAGCCUCAAGUGAUGAUUAUUGGAGGUAGAGCACUGUUUGGACGAGGGGCCCCUCUCGGGUUACCGAAUUCAGACAAACUCCGAAUGCCAAUUAAUUUAACUUGGGAGUCAGAACAUGGGUGAUAAGGUCCGUGUUCGAAAGGGAAACAGCCCAGACCACCAGCUAAGGUCCCAAAAUAUAUGUUAAGUGGAAAAGGAUGUGGCGUUGCCCAGACAACUAGGAUGUUGGCUUAGAAGCAGCCAUCAUUUAAAGAGUGCGUAAUAGCUCACUAGUCGAGUGACACUGCGCCGAAAAUGUACCGGGGCUAAACAUAUUACCGAAGCUGUGGAUUGUCCUUUGGAC